UACGUAGGGGGCAAGCGUUGUCCGGAAUUACUGGGCGUAAAGCGUGCGUAGACGGUAGCGUAAGUCAGAUGUGAAAGCCCCGGGCUCAACCUGGGAACUGCAUUUGAGACUGCUCUGCUCGGGUGCGGAAGAGGGAAGCGGAAUUUCCGGUGUAGCGGUGAAAUGCGUAGAUAUCGGAAGGAACACCAGUGGCGAAAGCGGCUUCCUGGUCCGACACCGACGUUCAGGCACGAAAGCGUGGGGAGCAAACAGG
rnacentral:rRNA from 1 species